AUGUAUAGCUUCGGCUAGUUAGGUUUGUCUAGAACAAAUCUAAUAUCGACUAUGUCGGAUAAAAUUCUAGAUAGAAUACUGAUAAUGACAAUUUUCUAUCUACUUGUCUUGACCAAAUUACGUGCCAGCAGUCGCGGCAAUACGUAGAAGACUAGUGUUAUUCAUAUUUAGUAGGUUUAAAGGGUACCUAGACGGUAUGAUUAGCCCAAAAUAGGGUACGGUCUUACUAGAGUUUUAUAUGAGAAGGGGAGUAUUUAUGGAGUAGAGUUGAAAUUCUGUCAUCCCAUAACGACUGGUAGAGGCGAAAGCAACCUUUUAUCUAAAAACUGACGUUGAGGGACGAAGGCUUGGGUAGCGAACAGGAUUAGAUACCCUAGUAGUCUAGGCAGAGAAUUAUGAAUGUCAUAGGCUAGAUAUUUUUAGCCUAUAAAUGAAAGUGUAAGCAUUCCACCUCAAGAGUAAUGUGGCAACGCAGGAACUGAAAUCAUUAGACCGUUUCUGAAACCAGUAGUGAAGUAUGUUAUUUAAUUUGAUAAUACGCAAAAAACCUUACCACAAUUCGUAUUUUAUACAUUUAAGUUAUAUUAGUAAGAAAACACUUUAAUUUUAAACGAUUAUAGUUGUAUAAUAUUUUUUUAACUUAGGAUAUAUUACAAGCGUUGCACGGCUGUCUUCAGUUAAUGUCGUGAGAUUUUGGUUAGUUCCAUAAAAUUAACGUAAACCCUUGCUCUAUUUUUAAACUCUCGAUAAGGGAAAAUCCCUUGCCGAGUAUUAAGCUUUUUAUAGAGUAGUUCACCAUCAUAUUGGAUAU
rnacentral:rRNA from 1 species